UCUGACUCCUCCUUCUCGGAUGCAAAAUCAAAUUAUCUGGUACUCGACGAAGCUUGCAGGGCCCAAUUUCAUUAGCCAGGGCCUUCCUAGAGUCCCGUUAUAGGGAGACGGGUCGCUGACUAUGAUGAACGUCUGCUUUGAGACUAUUAGUGGUGUUCUCAUAUCGAGUGCUAUGUUGCCAAUAGCAGUUGAGGUGUAUCUGUUGAAUAUGGUGAAUACCUCUGCAAGGCAAAUUAUCAUGCUUUACAGGCCCAUCUUCUAAAUGACAGAUAGCUGAACUCCAAAAUAUCGAGGUUUUUUGUGGUGAAACUCAACACUUAACAGUUUGUGCAUUUCAUUAAAUUAUGAAAAUAUCGGUCAAAUUAGUAGUGGACCAUUGGCCCAACUCCAAAAUCUUAACAAAUAUAUAGUCUAAAACAAAUUGGCCUUAACAAAUAUAUAUACACAUAUGACUAAUGUGAGAUCUUAUUCUUCAAAACGCCCCCUCAUGAGUGACCCCACAUAGGGUCACAAGGGAAACCAAUUCUCACAUGGAGAACUGGCCAAAGUCCUUAUACCGGAACUAACACUAGUCUUUUCAAGAACUCAGUCGGUCGGUAUGUAGUCUAUGGAGUCAACACUAAUAUUUUUCAAGCCCUAGUCAUUCAGCUGCCUUAAGUUGGAACUAGCGCAUUUUUUCGAAAGCCCAACAUGAAGCAUAUUCGAGCCCAGUAACUCAGGCCAGGACGUGUAGAGAGAAUAGCCUACUCUAAUACUAUGCUAACUUUGGAUUGGUUUGUAUGUGCUAAUCUAGUGUUCUGGAAUGCUUCGUGUAUUUCUUAGGAG
rnacentral:lncRNA from 1 species